GACGAACGCUGGCGGCGUGCUUAACACAUGCAAGUCGAACGGAAAGGCCCUGCUUUUGUGGGGUGCUCGAGUGGCGAACGGGUGAGUAACACGUGAGUAACCUGCCCUUGACUUUGGGAUAACUCCAGGAAACUGGGGCUAAUACCGGAUAGGAGCUCCUGCUGCAUGGUGGGGGUUGGAAAGUUUCGGCGGUUGGGGAUGGACUCGCGGCUUAUCAGCUUGUUGGUGGGGUAGUGGCUUACCAAGGCUUUGACGGGUAGCCGGCCUGAGAGGGUGACCGGCCACAUUGGGACUGAGAUACGGCCCAGACUCCUACGGGAGACAGCAGUGGGGAAUAUUGCACAAUGGGCGGAAGCCUGAUGCAGCAACGCCGCGUGCGGGAUGACGGCCUUCGGGUUGUAAACCGCUUUCGCCUGUGACGAAGCGUGAGUGACGGUAAUGGGUAAAGAAGCACCGGCUAACUACGUG
rnacentral:rRNA from 1 species